AGCGAACGCUGGCGGCAGGCCUAACACAUGCAAGUCGAACGAACUCUUCGGAGUUAGUGGCGGACGGGUGAGUAACACGUGGGAACGUGCCUUUAGGUUCGGAAUAACUCAGGGAAACUUGUGCUAAUACCGAAUGUGCCCUUCGGGGGAAAGAUUUAUCGCCUUUAGAGCGGCCCGCGUCUGAUUAGCUAGUUGGUGAGGUAAAGGCUCACCAAGGCGACGAUCAGUAGCUGGUCUGAGAGGAUGAUCAGCCACAUUGGGACUGAGAGACGGCCCAAACUCCUACGGGAGGCAGCAGUGGGGAAUCUUGCGCAAUGGGCGAAAGCCUGACGCAGCCAUGCCGCGUGAAUGAUGAAGGUCUUAGGAUUGUAAAAUUCUUCCACCGGGGACGAUAAUGACGGUACCCGGAGAAGAAGCCCCGGCUAGCUUCGUGCCAGCCGCCGCGGUAA
rnacentral:rRNA from 1 species